AUAUAUUCAGUUUUGGAUUUUGGUUUUAAUGGAAGAUUUUUAUCUUCGUAAGCUCCAUUCAGUGUGUCAAGAUACGAGUGAUACAAACACCACUAUUUGUAUCUGGCAUAAACAUAUUUCUGCAAGUUUUGUUUGGAACCAGGUUACUGGCUGUCAUUGGUGGUUCCUCUGCUGAUACUGUACCUAUCCUUUGCAUUAUCAGAGACUCAUCUCUACAACGAAUCAAUGAACCUCAUGAAAGAUUUUUACACAGUAUGAUGGAAACUCAAGGAGUCCUGAUUGUAGCUGCAAGCUUGUAGAUCAUACUGGGAUUUAGUCUCGUUGUACACAUUUAAUUCGUAUCUAAAGAUUGUGUUGGCAUAUAAUCUAAUUGUAUCUUACUUAGUUCUUCGUGAUUGAAUCACGGGUUUUUGUUAGAAUUUACUAGCUAUCUUGGACAUGUAUUCUCUGAACUCAGUAUUUCAUCCUUUUUUGUGUAAUUUUACACUCAAUGGUUAAAAUGAAUGAAUGUUAAAAUUA